UAGCUUGCUUAUUUUAAGUAUACACAUUUAGUUGGAAUGCAGCUUCUGCAUAAAAUCUUUAAAGCCCUAAUGGAAGCCAAAUUUUCCUAGCAUCAGCUCUUUAAGAGAACAUCCUGUUUCUUGUUCUCAUAAAUGCAGCUACAGUAAAGUUCUUGCCAUCCUUUCUGAUACCUGCUGGGAAAUUUCCACCUUUCUUCUGUUUAAUGAGGAAUUUGUAAUGAAAUGCUUUGAUGGGGGUAAAAAUUCUAACUAAUUCCAUAUAAACUGAGUUUCUUGCAGUGCUGAUCCUAGACGUCUGGGGGCUCUAAGCAAACCUUAGUGAGGGUCCCUUAAUAAUAGUUAAAAAAUAGAUAUAAAAAUAUAUUAAACCAAAAAUUAUUCAGACACCUUCAACAUUUUUCCACAUUUUCACAGUUUAUUCGAUAUAGUUUAGAAAAUUCUAUUAAAAUAUGGCAAGAACUCAGAAUUCUGUCAGAACAAAUUGAUCUUGAUAAUGUCAGAUGUUGAUAGAAAGGUAUGUAAUGGAUUAGGUUGAAUACCUGUCAGCUCAGCUGUACACAAUUAGAUACAAAUUUAGGGCAACCAAUUACCAAGCAAUGCUUCAUUUAGUCUGUGGUGCAAAAAGGUCGCAUUACCAAUGAAAGAAAAGAACACUUAAGCAAAACAUGCAAGACAAAGUGUCAGAAAAAUUUGGUUCCAAAUUUUUUAUCAAUUUUACUUUAUUUUGCUAUACAUACCUAUAUAAAUGAAAUACAAUGCACCCACUAGUAAAAAAUAUUAUAUCUGGUGCCUGUAAACUAUGAGAAAUAAAACAAAUAAUAAAUUAAUUAACACUAAAUUAAACAUUAAAGAAACUGUUCACCCAAAAAUGGUCCCCAUUGACUCGACUAUAGUAAUUUUUAUUCCUACUAUGGAAUCACAUGGGACCAUUUUUUGGGUAACCUAUUCUUUUAAACGAAUGAAGACUGAAAGAUUAAAAACCAUUAAACUGACAGUAUGAAAAUUAAAUCCAAAUUUUGAUUGGCAAGUAAAUAAUUGUUUGGCUAAGGGAGUAGCUCUAAAGCAUAUGGCUGUCAAAAAAUAUAACACUCAUAUGCUGUGUGUUUUUUCUAACAAAAUGAGUGAUUUAUUAACAAAAAUAAAGCAUGAUAGAAUCACUCAAGAAAAGCUUUAACAUAUGAAACACAUGAAUAAUUUUCUAAAUGUGAUGGGAAUAGGUUUUUUUUAGCAAUGACAGGAAAUGUCAGGUUAAACGAGUCAUCAUGUUUAUUAGGCUACUCUCACUUUAAGGGCCCUAUCGUACACUCGCAAGGCGCAGCGCAAGUGUUUUGGCUAGUUUCAGCCCGACACGGUACUCAUUUUCCCGUCUUGUGCCACAUUUGCGUUCAUUUGUGCGCCAGUGGGUGUGCUGGUCUAAAAUAGAGGUGUUUUCAGGCGCAUUGUUGGCACGUUGCUAUUUUGAGGAACUGAAAACUCAACUCAAACCUGGUCUAAAUUUUGCGAAAAUGCAAGCACAUGCGUUUCCUCUCUGAAGAAGUGUCCAGUCUUUGCUCUUGCAAAUUCUGCCGUGUAAAUAAUCCGCCAUGGCGCGAGCGCUACUGGCUCUUAAAGGGAAUGAGAGAUGAGACUCUUGAUUGGUUUACUGCACGUUACGCCCAAAAAACUCCCAUUACUCAUUAAGAGAAUCGGGACAACCCGUUUAGACCAUGCGCCUGGGCGCACCGACCGUUUCCCAUCGUUUAACUAGCAAAUGUGGAUUCGGACACCCCCUGAAUGCACCUGCGCUGUGCGCUUCAGACCAUGCGCUUAGAUCAUUAAAAUUGGGCCCUCUAUCAUCUGAUCCAAUGUAUUGACACACAUCCAACUGUUUACAUUCAUUUAAGACAUAAUCAACUGUUUUUUGUUUUAACAUAAUUGUAUAUUUGUUAGUUUAAGCGCAAUGGGGUGCAAAAGAAAACUUGGUUCAAUACAGUGUUCACGCUUUUUGUGCACGCUAAUGUCAGACACACAGUGUGAGAGGAAAAACAGUUGCUGGUCUUUAAUACACAAAUGAUACAUUUUAGUGAUGUGGAUUAACUGCAGUCACCACGCUAGAUAUGAACCAACGACAAUCAAUCAAAACACAGCAAAUCCCCAUGCACAUCCCUCAGUGACACAGGUCGCCAUGAGUUGGUGUGCAUUCAGGUUUAGGUCCCCACUAACAUAUAAAAACCAAGUCCACACACACACACACACAGACAAGCACGCACGUCUGGUUUAUUAUCUCCGUGGGGACAGUCCAUAGGCGUAAUGAGUUGUAUACUGUACAAACUGUAUAUUCUAUCCCCUACCCAUAACCCAACCCCUAAACCUAAAGAUCAUAGAAAACCUUUUGCAUUUUUAGAUUUUUUAAAAAUAUUGUUCUGUACAAUUUAUUAGCUUUUUUGCCCAUGGGGACCUCAAUUUUGGUCCCCACGGUGACACGAGUCCCCAUGUGUUGGUGUGCAUUCAGGUUUAGGUCCCCACCGGGAUAUACAAACAUGAACGCACACACAGACAAGCACGCACACACACAGACAUGCACACACGUACAGUGAAAGCACACAUUUAAGAUAAAGGAGAGAGAAACACAGGUCAAAUAUUAAACAGACUAUAAAUUACUAUAUGCAAUAUUAAUUAAGUAAAACUUUAAAAUUCUAAAGCAGCCCCCCGGCCAGGCAAAUAGUGCAAAACAGUAUGCAAAUGGUGGCGAGGAACCCAAAACUCCAAUCGAGAAAAAAAACCUCAGGAGAACCCAGGCCCAACCAGGGGAUUCCAGUUCCCCUCUGGCAAAAGCUGCUGCCUCUGCACAAGCUUGACAGUGCUUGAACAACAAGGCUUAAUAAAAAUAAAUAAAUUUACUAAUAAGGUAAAUUAUAGAUUUAAGAUUAUCAUUAAUAAUCUAAUAGCAUUUGAAAUUUUGUGGUGAAGACGUGUCAAAUCACCGCGUCCUUCUUUAUCCAGCACUAUCAUCUCAGCUCUUGUCAGGUCGCCGCUUUCCAUUCUCUGCUCUACCAUCAGGUCUGGGCAUGAACUGCAUCCUGCUCGCUGUGGUAACCUUAGAACAAUGAGACAAGACUGGCUGAGAGUAGAGUACUGUUCUGCACUCUUUGAUGCAACAAGUACAUCAGUUAUGUUCCUGGUUCCGGUUGAUCUUACUAAUGCAGCCUAAACCCUCAGAGGAUUUAUAUUAUGGAAGUGUAGUGUAUGCAAGAUUAAAAAGAUGCGUCUUUAGUCUAGAUUUAAACUGACAGAGUGUGUCUGCCUCCCGGACAGUGCAGGGAAGACUAUUCCAAAGUUUAGGCGCUAGAUAAGAAAAGGAUCUGCCACCUGCACUUGAUUUUGAAAUUCUAGGUAUUACCAACUGACAGGACGCCUGAGAGCGUACUGCACGUGAAGGACUGUAAUACAAGAGGAGUUCACUCAAGUAUUGAGGAGCUAAACCAUGUAGGGCUUUAUAGGUAAUAAGCAAGAUUUUAAAGUUAACACGAUGCUUUAUAGGUAACCAGUGCAAGGUAGACAGAACCGGGCUAAUAUGUUCAUACAUUUUUGUACGUGUAAGAACUCGAGCUGCUGCGUUAUGGACCAGUUGGAGUUUUUGUAAUAAGCCUGCAGGGCAACCACACUGUAAACCCCAAUGUUGUCAUUAAUAAAGACAUUAAGUUAUCAUAACUUAACAUUAUUUAAAAUACCACGUUUUGGCAUCAAAACUUAAACAAAUGUGUUUAAUCAAAUUAUUUGGCAGCAAAAACCUUUCGAAUUAGGAUUAUAAGUGUUAUGAACUCAAAAUUGUACGUUAUUUACAUUAUUUUCUAUGUCUUUGUUUAAAAUGAUUGGUCGUUUUGAAAUUAUGCCUUGAGCAACGCGCUGAUUGGUCUGUAUUACACAAGGCGGUAAUUUUUUGGUCGUUGUGAAUUUGACAAGGAGAAUCAGGCAUAUCACUAGUCGGAAGAAAUGUGUACAACGUGAAUUUUGACUGGUAAGUACAGAUUAAAAUGCAUACACUUUCCUUAAUUGCAUCCCACGUUUUAUUGUAGUAUUAUUUGCACUGUUUUAACACUUUACCGCUUUCCUCCCUCGAAAGCACUAACAAAUACGAUGUCGUCGUGAAGAAACAUUAGGCCUAAAAACAGCGUCAUCGUGAGGACUCACUGAAGAACGCUGGUAAGUGGUACUAACGUAAUCCGUUAGUACUAACGGAUAGGGGUCAUUGUGAAGUAGGCUGGCAAAGAGACCUCGUGAUAGACUCACUGAAGAACGCUGCUGCACUAGCAGACAGGCGGUCAUGAAACAGGUGGGGAGGUGGAGAGAGCUGUCAUGAUAAAGACCCCUGUAGUUUUCUGGUGACCUGUCGGAAGAAAAUGUGGAAUUGUAAAUACUGCAUUUUUAGGUCUGAGAAAACGCGAAAUUCUUAGACAUUAUUGUCUAAAGCAUAGAGGCAAUACAAAGAUUGUCCCUUUUCCCUGUCCACACCAGGACUGUCUUUGCACAUUUCAAUCAAUUAGUAAUUUGCAAGUGCAUCUUUCUAGAAUUGUUAAAACGUAUCUGAAAAUGAGUUUGUGAGCUUACUGUUUUUAAGCUUUGCUUCUGUUAGUGACAAACAUGUCUUUUGUUGUUUCUUACAGUCUGCUUUUAAAUGUCAUAUGGCCAAUGUCACUUUUAAGUGGCUGAUUUCUGAAGAAAUCCUUCAUCAAUUAUUUGAUCUUAAUCAAAGUAUUGAUAUAUACUGUAAGUUUGACACUAAUAAAGCUGUUGAUGUGAAAUCGACUCGUUUUAAUGGUUUAUUAUUUAAUAAAAGUAAACACAAAAAAAGGGUAAAUUUUGAGUUCAGUCUUUUUGCCCUUUAAGUUAUCUGUACUUAAAAUUUUAAGUUAAUUCAAUGAAAAGACCACAUUAGCUCAACU